GAGCGGACCGACGGGAGCUUGCUCCCUUAGGUCAGCGGCGGACGGGUGAGUAACACGUGGGUAACCUGCCUGUAAGACUGGGAUAACUCCGGGAAACCGGGGCUAAUACCGGAUGCUUGAUUGAACCGCAUGGUUCCAAUCAUAAAAGGUGGCUUUUAGCUACCACUUACAGAUGGACCCGCGGCGCAUUAGCUAGUUGGUGAGGUAACGGCUCACCAAGGCGACGAUGCGUAGCCGACCUGAGAGGGUGAUCGGCCACACUGGGACUGAGACACGGCCCAGACUCCUACGGGAGGCAGCAGUAGGGAAUCUUCCGCAAUGGACGAAAGUCUGACGGAGCAACGCCGCGUGAGUGAUGAAGGUUUUCGGAUCGUAAAACUCUGUUGUUAGGGAAGAACAAGUACCGUUCGAAUAGGGCGGCACCUUGACGGUACCUAACCAGAAAGCCACGGCUAACUACGUGCCAGCAGCCGCGGUAAUACGUAGGUGGCAAGCGUUGUCCGGAAUUAUUGGGCGUAAAGCGCGCGCAGGCGGUUUCUUAAGUCUGAUGUGAAAGCCCCCGGCUCAACCGGGGAGGGUCAUUGGAAACUGGGGAACUUGAGUGCAGAAGAGGAGAGUGGAAUUCCACGUGUAGCGGUGAAAUGCGUAGAGAUGUGGAGGAACACCAGUGGCGAAGGCGACUCUCUGGUCUGUAACUGACGCU
rnacentral:rRNA from 1 species